UACUUUUGAAACUUGAAGAUCAACUAGGAGAAACUGACCAAUGAAUUACCAACAGCACAUGUGUUCCCAUAAACAUGUGGAAUCUCUGUGGAGUCCAGUAUACAUGGAAUAGCACUGGCACUGGGAAUAAUUACUUGCGCAAAACAAGUAGUACUUCUACAAAGGGAGUGGAAACGAUGCGAAUUUCAUUCAUUUUAGCCUCAACUCUUUUCUCCCAGAUCUCUCUAGCUUCAUUUCUCACCCCAACCUCCUUUACCACUCCACUUCCAGACAUCUAUCACCACUAUUUCUUUGAUCUGAAAUGUUCUCUCCUCUGCCCUGGCCCUAAGCAAGCAAAAUUCUGACUGUCAAGGUCCAGAUGAAAUGACCCCUCUCCCAUGAACCCCUUCCAGAUCUCUCCAAGAGGAGAAUGAAUGAUACACAUGGGAGGAAGGAGGGGCCAAAUUUUUGGCCUUUCUUUCAUCCCUACACCCAACUGUCUUUGGCUAUACCUUCAAAUAUUUCCAGAGUCUGACCACCUCCACUGGCUUGGAUAACAGUCUCCUAACAGAUCUCCAUGCUUACACCCUUGUCCCCUAUAAUCCAUUACCCUUUUAAAAGAAUAUUUAUUUCUUUAUUUGGGGGGGGCAGGCAAAGGGAGAGAGAGAAUCUCAAUCAGACUCCCCACUGAGAACAGAGCCUGACAUAGGUCUCAAUUCCAGGACCAUGAGAUCAUGACGUGAGCCAAAAUCAAGAGAUGGACAUUUAACUGACUGAGCUACCCAGCCACCCCUAAUCUAAUUUAUAAUACAGUACCCAGUCUGGUCUCGUUAAAAAAUGAAAUCAGAUCAUCUAGUUCAUCUGUUCAAAACCAUUCCCAAAUUCCCAAUUCUAGAGCAUAAUCCAAAAUCCUUAAUAUGGCCUGCAAGCCCUGUAAAAUUUAAUCUACUCCCAGACCCUUCCCUGAUUUCUUCACCUAGUAUUCUCUACCUCACUCAGCUCUAGCUGAACUGGCUCCUUGCUGUUCUUCCAAGAGAUGUAAUUCAGACACUGUUGGAAGAACCGCAAGGAGGCCAGUUCAGCUAGAGUGUAAUUACACUGGUCAAUUACACUCUCACCUUCAGGUUUUCAUAUUUGCUAGCCCCUCUGCUUGGAGUCCUCUUCUCCCAGAUGUACAUGCAGCUUGUUCCAAGUACUGCUCAAAUACCACCUUAUAAGAAAAACCUCCCCUGUUAACACUAUAUAAAACAGUUUAUACAUUCCCAUCAUUCUCUCUCUCCUUACUCCAAGUUAUUUUUCUUUUUAGCAUUUGUAAAUUAUAUUAUUAUCUCUUGCCCCCUCCCAUUCACCAGAAUAUAAGCUCCAUGCCCAUGAGGGCCUUUGCUAAUUCUGCCUACAUCGCAUAUACCACUGCUUGGCAUAUAGCAAAUACAACAGACUAUAUGUUCCUUAAUGUAUAAAAGAAAGAACAAAAAGCCUCCACAGACAUAUCCCAAAGUACUGUGUGUAAUUCAGACACUCAGCAAACAUUUAAUAAUUCCUUUUUUAAAAUAUGCGUAUAUGUCUUCUGGUCUAUCUAACAACGUUACUGGCCAAAGUCUUAUGUUAUAAAUCUAGGAAUUGUUUAGUCCUCCCAAAGGAAUCAGUUUUAAGUGAAAAAGUUCAGCCUCUGCUAUUAAAAGUAUCUAAGUUUAAAAGUUUAUGGCAAUCGGUAUUUUAUAGUUUAGUUUGAAACUGGAUCCAGUUUAAGGCUUCAACUAUACAAUCAGAAGCUCAUUCUUUCUCUUUUAUUUUUCUUUACCAUUUACCUAGUGAAAAGAGACAGAGAGUAUGCAUUAAAGAAGCCUCUGAAUUUGAACUCCAAAGAAAGCCCAGGUUCUAAACAAAAAGUGAAGUUUUUCUUUAUAAAUUUCUGGAGCUGAUUAAACUCAACCACAAAUUUUAUCUGUUUUGAACCACUUUAAAAUAUUUAAAGCACUGCCAGAUAUGUCAUUCUACAUGAAUCACAAGACUUUAUCAUAUAUACAGAUCCCAGAUAAUCCUGAAGACUGUGUUCUAAAUUAUAUAUUUGAGAACCUUUAGUUCAGUUAAAAUCAUGAUUUCAUUAAGUUAGAGAGUAGGGCAGGUUGGUGACUUAAGAAAUGUCCAAAAGUUAAGCAUUCCCAAAGCCUGCAGUAUCCAAGUGCUCAGAUCCCAAAGCUUUAGGUAAACACCUAAAGCUCAACAUUAAUAGAGGCUUCCCCAAGACAUUUCCCCCCAAAUAAUAAAACCAAUCCAUUUCUUUCUUCGGUGCUUAAAAAAGUGGUCAGGUUCAAACCACCUUCCCCAACUCCCCCCAAAACAAAAAAAAAAAUAUAUAUAUAUAUACAAAGGAAGGGAUUUGGGAUACAACUUCAGAUACAGAGAUCAGUAAGCAACCUAGGAAUAUACAAAUCAAUAAUCCCUCAGGUGGGUCCACAUAAACUGCAGAAUACCACAAUAUAACUGAAACUUUGGUCCACCACUGGCAAAUACAUAGCAAGGGACAAGAAAGGCAUAUAAAUCAUUCCUUUGUGAAUUCCUUUGCUUUACAAACAAGUACUAGAUUGCUAUGUCUACUUUAUAGAAAGUUAUUUCUAUUAUUAGAAAAAACUGAAAGCAAAGAGAGGUCAAGAGCCAAAUACAAGUAGAACUUCAUGCUGGCGCUGUGGGUUAAAAUUGCACAGGUAUACCGGGCUCAACCAUGAGGUAAUUUCAUCAAACAACCUGACUCUCUGAACAAUGAGUUAGGGAAAAGGACUGAACAGAAAGAUUUCUUUAUUCUCACACUCAUUCUCCCAUCUGUAAACACCGUUCUCUCCUUCUCACUCUCUCUCACACACUAACUGUGCAUUUCCACUGCCAAAAGCCACAUUAAAAGGCUAGGAAAAGACCACAAUCACCUGGUUAACCUCUAGCAUAACUACUGACUGGAGCAUGCUCUGAGUCCCCCAGCACUGGCUGUACUCUGCAAGUGGAUGUGGGUGCGUAAGCCCACUGGGGCUUAGGAAAAAGGAAAGUUCAAACAAUGUUCUUGUCAGCACUUUAAACAAAAAAUCCAUUCAGUGGGAAUGGCACCAUGUUCCUUUUGCCCUUUCUCCCUAGGAACUAAAUUAAACAGAUUACAGACAGCGGCAAGAUCUGGCCUUAGAACAGCCUCCCCCUUAUUUAUUAUUUUUAGCAAUUUAGUCCGACAACGCCUGACAACUAAACAUGCCUAGAAUAGCUAAAGGGAGGGGGGACUAUCAGAUACUACCAGCAAAAAAACACUAGUCAUCACUUCCUCCAACCCUAAGAAAGAAUCAUUUUCCAUGUCUUCAUAACAUCAUGCAGAGUUUGAGCUUUUAGAGUCUCACAUAAAAACAGAGUCCAUAUAAAACAUCAGUGGAAACCGAUAAUGCUUCCUGAUCUGGAGGAUUGUUCCACCCUCACAUGUGUUUUCUUAAAAACAAAAGCAGAAUAAAAUGAACUAAGUUGUUUUACACAAAAGUUAGGAGUAAAAUGCAUCUGUGUCCAUUCUGGAAGAAUUCCAUCACAAGAUAAUUAUGUACCCAAAAGAAGGGCUUCAUGAAUAGUGAUGGAAUUCAAAUAUUUUUAUUAUGCUGGUGACAGGUGAAAGAAUUGAAAUAAGCUUAAGUGAGGAAGGAGAAACUCCUCUAAUUAAUCAAAAUUAGGAAGAAAGCACCGCCCACAGACACUCUAUUUAUAAACGAAAUAAUGUACUAAAAAUUCUCAGAAAAAAUGAAAAAACAAAAGGGAUAACGUAGUAGAACUAUCUGCUUCAGCAGAUUAAAAUUCAUAAAAAUACUUUUUUUAUUGUUUAGUAAGGUAAAAUGUCCAUGUGUUCAGGAAUUUUAUGAUUUAUGAAUAAUUUCUGAACAUUUUUUGCCACUAUUCCAAGUAUGAUGUAUUAUAAGACAGUAUAAAAUAAAGCUCUACAAACGAAUAAAAUGAUGUCUUUCUGGGUCUGUUAUUUUAACUUACAUAUGUGGGAUUAAUAAUACAGCUCCAUGCAAAAGUAUCUCUAAAACAGGUAAUGCCCAAUAUAUACCUUAAGCUAUCACAAGCAAUUACUGUAAUUUAAGCAACUACUACAAAGAUAUCAAAAGAAAUGUUACCUUUUACUACAUUUUAAAUCACAAAGCUGUGAGCAGAAAACUACUUUUAUUUUACCUUCAAAGAAAAGGAUUCCAAUUAACUUGUUAAAUUAAAUCUGGACAUGAAAGGAAACUGAUUUUUGUUUUGUUUUGCCUCCUUCCAUCUUUUUUUAAGAGGGCAUUUUUGCUCCUCAAGUUUCAAUUCAGAAGAAUACCAAGGCUAUAACAAUAAAUUUAACAGAACUGCCCGCAGAUAUCUUCUAAUCCAAUCUCUCAUUUUACAGAUGAGGACACUGAAGCUUAGAGUACAGCAGGGGGUAGAAUUCAGAACUCCUAACUCAGCAGAAGGUAUUUAAAUUAGGAAUCUAGGGUAAUGAAUGCUCUGUUGUAAAUCUAGUAGACUUGGAGAUCUCUAUUUAUGGUUCAAAUAUCAGUAUGGAUCUUGUUCUUUUGAGCCGACAUGCACAGUGUGCUCAUUAGUACAGGUGUGGCCUGUCCACACUGAGUUUCGAACAACUCACUCCCUCUGGCCAGUAUCUAUUACUUCGGGUUAGGGAAGACUUGUGUUUGUAAGGACUGACCAGACUCAGAAUCUAGAGUAAAGAAAAUAUACUGAUUAACAUCCCCUUACCAUCUAGAUACAAGAGCAGGGAGGCAUGCAGUAACAUGAAAGGAAAUUCAAAGUCGAACUCAUCAAAGAAAUCAUUCUCUAGACAGGCUGAAAGUGACUGCAGGAACUCUCAUGCAUGGGAGGGAGGAGGAUAAAGACAAAUAAUCAUGGUUAGGCACAGAGAAAAGUCAGAUCACAAAAAAUACAAAACAGUGAAACUUGAGGUCAGUCAACAACCCUCUGAAGCACUUAAAGGGAUAGUCUGGUGUGGAUAUAGACAAAUAUUCUAAGAAGGAAAUCAAGGCACCCUGGGAAUGCAUUCUACAAUAAAGGAUUAAUAGACUGAAGAUGCAGAAAGCUUGACUCAAGUCUAAUUGGAAUGCAAAUCCUUCUUUUACCUUAACUAUAAAAUGAAGACACACAUAUCAGUCAACAAAUGAAAUCAGAGCAGUGUUAUGUGUAAAAUAUUUGUAAUAUGUAUUUUACAAAUAAGGAAGACUGUCUAGUUAACAGGCCAAAUCUAUUUGAAAGGAUCACAUCUGAGUUCUCACCAGAGCUGAAAUACUAUUUUUGAAGUAAACUCUAUCCCCAAUGUACGACUCAAACUGACAACCCUGAAAUAAAGAGUCACAUGUUAUACUGACUGAGACAGCCAGGCAUCCCUGAACUGAAAUAUUUCUAAUAAGGAAGUGAAAUACCUCACAGUUUACAUUGGGUAAAUAUUAGAUCUUGGAUCAUAACAAAACAUAUACACUGACAGAGGCAUUGAAAAUACUGCUAAUAACCAACAAAGAAUACUCAACCAGAAAAAGAGCAUACUGGGCUUUUUCAGACUCAUUUUUCUCCAAAAGCCAAAGAGGAAGAUUAUGCAGCUACAUUAAGCCUUAAGACACCAGGAGAGAGAGAAUAUAUAUAGUUCACUACAAACUUUAGGGCUUCCAACCAUCAGGCUCUUUUAGAUUUAAGUCUUAAAUAACUAAAAACUAUUUUAAAACAAACACCCAUUUUUAUAAAUGUUGAGAAUGCAAAUGAAAUUCUAUAAAGAGAUAAGUAUUCAUAUCUGAAAUCCCAAAGUAUGGGAUGGCAAGAGAAACAUCACUGAGGACUCUCCAAGUCAAAACAUGGAACAGAGAUGAAUUUACUAACUUGCAAUUAUUUUUUUUAACAACAAAAAAGCCACUCAGAGGGUCUAGUGACCUAGCUGGAGGUGGGAUACCAUCAAGCUAAUUUUUAGAGUACAGACAUUUUAUACUUUAGUACUCAAAGUCUUGGGUCAGAGCAGCAUAGGUCUCUGAAAAAGAGCUCCCUUCAGCAAAUGACUAAAGAUUAAUUGUACAUUCUAUUAAACAUCUUGACUUGUUAAGAAUAAAAAUGGACUCUCUAUGAAGAUAAAUUGUGGUAACUCUACAUAAUGGAAUAACAUACAGCAAUGAAAAUGAACAAAUCACAAUCUCGAGUAACACAGACAUACCUCACAAACACAACGGUGAUCAAAAGGAGGCAAAAAAUACAUAUAGAGUGAUUUUGUUCAUAUGAAGCGUAAGAACAAACGGAAGUAAAAUACACUGUUUGGGGGGGAUAUAUAUAGGUGGUAAUUUUUUUUUUUUAAGAUUUUAUUUUAUUUUAUUUUUAUUUAUUUAUCAGAGAGAGAGAGGGAGGGAGAGAGAGCCAUCACAGGCAGACAGAAUGGCAGGCAGAGGCAGAGGUAGAAGCAGGCUCCCCGCCGAGCAAGGAGCCCGAUGUGGGACUCGAUCCCAGGACGCUGGGAUCAUGACCUGAGCCGAAGGCAGCUGCUUAACCAACUGAGCCACCUAGGCGUCCCUAGGUGGUAAAAUUUUUAAAAAGGAGAAAGGAAAAGAAUACAAUUGCACCAAAAACAGUAAGAUACCUUGGAAUAAACCUAACCAAAGAGGUACAAGACCUGUACUCUGAAACCUUAACACUGAUGAAAGAAAUUAAAGAUGACACAAGAAACAGAAA